CAAUAGCGUAUAUUAAAGUUGUUGCGGUUAAAAAGCUCGUAGUUGGAUCUCGGCAGGCAGGGGGUGGUUCGCUCUUAGCGCUACUGCCCCAUUUGCCUGUGUGAUUGGCGGAGGUUUCGGGGUGCUCUUCGUUGAGUGACCCGGGGCGCCGUCAGGUUUACUUUGAAAAAAUUAGAGUGCUCAAAGCAGGCUUUUCACGCUUGAAUAUUCGUGCAUGGAAUAAUGGAAUAGGAACUCGUUUCUAUUUUGUUGGUUUUCGGAAAUCGAGUUAAUGAUUAAUAGGGACAAUUGGGGGCAUUAGUAUUCAGACGACAGAGGUGAAAUUCUUGGACCGUCUGAAGACUAACUACUGCGAAAGCAUUUGCCAAGAGUGCUUUCAUUAA
rnacentral:rRNA from 1 species